AGCGAACGCUGGCGGCAGGCUUAACACAUGCAAGUCGAGCGGGCAUCCUUGUGGUGUCAGCGGCAGACGGGUGAGUAACGCGUGGGAACGUGCCCUUCGGUUCGGAAUAACUCAGGGAAACUUGAGCUAAUACCGGAUACGUGCGAGAGCAGAAAGGUUUAUCUGCCGAAGGAUCGGCCCGCGUCUGAUUAGCUAGUUGGUGAGGUUAUGGCUCACCAAGGCGACGAUCAGUAGCUGGUCUGAGAGGAUGAUCAGCCACACUGGGACUGAGACACGGCCCAGACUCCUACGGGAGGCAGCAGUGGGGAAUAUUGGACAAUGGGGGCAACCCUGAUCCAGCCAUGCCGCGUGAGUGAUGACGGCCCUAGGGUUGUAAAGCUCUUUUCUCCGGGACGAUAAUGACGGUACCGGAGGAAUAAGCCCCGGCUAACUUCGUG
rnacentral:rRNA from 1 species